AUGCUGCUGGUGAGCGCCGCGGGCCGCAGGGGCAUGCACGCCCCCCGGGCCGGGCCGAGCCGAGCGUGCGGCGGACGGACCCCCUCCCGGGUCCGCCGAGGCAGCCACCCGGGGGCGCGGCGGCGGGGGCGGCAGGAGGACGAGGCGCGGGAGGCAGGAUGGAGCUGCCGGAGGAAGAGGCGGAGGCAGGUCCGGGUUUCGAGGCGCCGGCAGGCUGCGGAGGCGGCGGCUACCCCCCGGACGAACCCCCGCUCCCCUCCCCGCCCCCUGCCCGCCGCAAGCGCCGCCCGCCCGGGCGCGGGGUCGCGCGGGAGGGCGGGGAGUCCCGGGCGGCCGGCAGCGGCCACGCAGGAGACGGUUCGCGAUGCAGCCGCGCAGGACCGAAGCCCCCGGCCCGCCCGGCGGAGGGGCGGACCAGGCGGCGGCGGCGGCUGGGACAGCGGCACCUGUACCCCUCGGAGGGCAGACGCAGUGGAGCUGGAGAAGCUCCUCGCCGGGGAAGAAUCAGCGCACACAUUGGUGACUGAGAACCAACAGAGGUGUGAGUGAAUAAAGGAGCCAGAGGGGAAGGACUCGUGUUUGAUUUUGAAAGGAACUGAAAAGAGUGAGAAGACGAGAUGAGACAUAGGAUCACCCUCCGUGAAACCAUCUUUUCCCACUGAAACUGAUGGAAAACAGAAAAAGGUUUAUGAGGUCCUCUACCAAGAGGAAGUUGAAAGAAAAGAGCCAGGCUUUAGAGUGGGGUCUAGCCCAGUAUGACUGGUAUCCUUAUAAAAAGGGGAAAUCUG